rnacentral:rRNA from 1 species
GACGAACGCUGGCGGCGUGCUUAACACAUGCAAGUCGAACGGAAAGGCCCUGCUUUUGUGGGGUGCUCGAGUGGCGAACGGGUGAGUAACACGUGAGUAACCUGCCCUUGACUUUGGGAUAACUUCAGGAAACUGGGGCUAAUACCGGAUAGGAACUCCUGCUGCAUGGUGGGGGUUGGAAAGUUUCGGCGGUUGGGGAUGGACUCGCGGCUUAUCAGCUUGUUGGUGGGGUAGUGGCUUACCAAGGCUUUGACGGGUAGCCGGCCUGAGAGGGUGACCGGCCACAUUGGGACUGAGAUACGGCCCAGACUCCUACGGGAGGCAGCAGUGGGGAAUAUUGCACAAUGGGCGGAAGCCUGGUGCAGCAACGCCGCGUGCGGGAUGACGGCCUUCGGGUUGUAAACCGCUUUCGCCUGUGACGAAGCGUGAGUGACGGUAAUGGGUAAAGAAGCACCGGCUAACUACGUG